rnacentral:rRNA from 1 species
UACAGAGGUCUCAAGCGUUGUUCGGAUUCAUUGGGUGUAAAGGGUGCGUAGGUGGCGCUGUAAGUCGGGUGUGAAAUUUCGGAGCUUAACUCCGAAACUGCAUUCGAUACUGCGGUGCUUGAGGACUGGAGAGGAGACUGGAAUUCAUGGUGUAGCAGUGAAAUGCGUAGAGAUCAUGAGGAAGACCAGUGGCGAAGGCGGGUCUCUGGACAGUUCCUGACACUGAGGCACGAAGGCCAGGGGAGCAAACGGG